UACGAAGGGGGCUAGCGUUGUUCGGAAUUACUGGGCGUAAAGCGCACGCAGGCGGUGCUGCGCGUUUGGGGUUACAGCUCCCGGCUCAACCGGGAGAGCGCCUCGAAGACGGCAGCACUUGAGGGCCAGAGAGGGACACGGAACUCCGGGUGGAGUGGUGAAAUGCGUAGAUAUCCGGAAGAACACCCGUGGCGAAGGCGGCUCUCUGGUACGUGACUGACGCUGAGACGCGAAAGCGUGGGGAGCAAACAGG
rnacentral:rRNA from 1 species